rnacentral:misc_RNA from 1 species
CCGAGUUCCAUCUCGACAACCCUAUGUGAACCCAAACUAUUGUUGCUUCGGCGGCGCGGAACGCCUCUCCCGGCGCGCCGUGCCCGCCGGUAACCUCAGAAUCUCUGUUCGAACCCGACGUUACCUCUGAGUGUUCUAAGCGAACUGUUA